rnacentral:rRNA from 1 species
CCUACGGGAGGCAGCAGUAGGGAAUCUUCCACAAUGGGCGAAAGCCUGAUGGAGCAACGCCGCGUGGGUGAAGAAGGUCUUCGGAUCGUAAAACCCUGUUGUUAGAGAAGAAAGUGCGUGAGAGUAACUGUUCACGUUUCGACGGUAUCUAACCAGAAAGCACAGGCUAACUACGUGCCAGCAGCCGCGGUAAUACGUAGGUGGCAAGCGUUAUCCGGAUUUAUUGGGCGUAAAGGGAACGCAGGCGGUCUGUUAAGUCUGAUGUGAAAGCUUUCGGCUUAACCGGAGUAGUGCAUUGGAAACUGGGAGACUUGAGUGCAGAAGAGGAGAGGGGAACUCCAUGUGUAGCGGUGAAAUGCGUAGAUAUAUGGAGGAACACCAGUGGCGAAAGCGGCUCUCUGGUCUGUAACUGACGCUGAGGUUCGAAAGCGUGGGUAGCAAACAGGAUUAGAUACCCCAGUAGUC